AGGUUAUGAUGUUUUAAACCUAUUCCAUUUCUGAACCAGAAGUGAAGAAAUAAAGCUGCUGAACUU